rnacentral:rRNA from 1 species
GAUGAACGCUAGCGGGAGGCUUAACACAUGCAAGUCGAGGGAUAGAUGUAGCAAUACAUUGAAAACCGGCGCACGGGUGAGUAACGCGUAUGCAACCUGCCCUUAACCGGGGGAUAGCCCGUCGAAAGGCGGAUUAACACCCCAUAACACUGUAUUUCUGCAUGGAGAAACAGUUAAAACUCAGGUGGUUAAGGAUGGGCAUGCGUGACAUUAGCUUGUUGGUAGGGUAACGGCCUACCAAGGCUACGAUGUCUAGGGGUUCUGAGAGGAAGGUCCCCCACACUGGUACUGAGACACGGACCAGACUCCUACGGGAGGCUG